rnacentral:rRNA from 1 species
GAGUGAAAUAGAACCUGAAACCGUGUGCUUACAAGUAGUCAGAGCCCGUUAAUGGGUGAUGGCGUGCCUUUUGUAGAAUGAACCGGCGAGUUACGAUUUGAUGCAAGGUUAAGCAGUAAAUGUGGAGCCGUAGCGAAAGCGAGUCUGAAUAGGGCGUUUAGUAUUUGGUCGUAGACCCGAAACCAGGUGAUCUACCCUUGGUCAGGUUGAAGUUCAGGUAACACUGAAUGGAGGACCGAACCGACUUACGUUGAAAAGUGAGCGGAUGAACUGAGGGUAGCGGAGAAAUUCCAAUCGAACCUGGAGAUAGCUGGUUCUCUCCGAAAUAGCUUUAGGGCUAGCCUCAAGUGAUGAUUAUUGGAGGUAGAGCACUGUUUGGACGAGGGGCCCCUCUCGGGUUACCGAAUUCAGACAAACUCCGAAUGCCAAUUAAUUUAACUUGGGAGUCAGAACAUGGGUGAUAAGGUCCGUGUUCGAAAGGGAAACAGCCCAGACCACCAGCUAAGGUCCCAAAAUAUAUGUUAAGUGGAAAAGGAUGUGGCGUUGCCCAGACAACUAGGAUGUUGGCUUAGAAGCAGCCAUCAUUUAAAGAGUGCGUAAUAGCUCACUAGUCGAGUGACACUGCGCCGAAAAUGUACCGGGGCUAAACAUAUUACCGAAGCUGUGGAUUGUCCUUUGGACAAUGGUAGGAGAGCGUUCUAAGGGCGUUGAAGCAUGAUCGUAAGGACAUGUGGAGCGCUUAGAAGUGAGAAUGCCGGUGUGAGUAGCGAAAGACGGGUGAGAAUCCCGUCCACCGAUUGACUAAGGUUUCCAGAGGAAGGCUCGUCCGCUCUGGGUUAGUCGGGUCCUAAGCUGAGGCCGACAGGCGUAGGCGAUGGAUAACAGGUUGAUAUUCCUGUACCACCUAUAAUCGUUUUAAUCGAUGGGGGGACGCAGUAGGAUAGGCGAAGCGUGCGAUUGGAUUGCACGUCUAAGCAGUAAGGCUGAGUAUUAGGCAAAUCCGGUACUCGUUAAGGCUGAGCUGUGAUGGGGAGAAGACAUUGAGUCUUCGAGUCGUUGAUUUCACACUGCCGAGAAAAGCCUCUAGAUAGAAAAUAGGUGCCCGUACCGCAAACCGACAC